rnacentral:rRNA from 1 species
AGAGUUUGAUCAUGGCUCAGGAUGAACGCUGGCGGCGUGCUUAACACAUGCAAGUCGAACGAAGCAUAUAAGGCGGAAUUCUUCGGGAGGAAGCCAUAUAUGACUUAGUGGCGGACGGGUGAGUAACGCGUGAGUAACCUGCCUUACACAGGGGGACAACAGCUGGAAACGGCUGCUAAUACCGCAUAAGCGCACAGGACCGCAUGGUACGGUGUGAAAAGAUUUAUCGGUGUAAGAUGGACUCGCGUCUGAUUAGUUAGUUGGCGGGGUAACGGCCCACCAAGACAACGAUCAGUAGCCGACUUGAGAGAGUGAUCGGCCACAUUGGGACUGAGACACGGCCCAAACUCCUACGGGAGGCAGCAGUGGGGAAUAUUGCACAAUGGGGGAAACCCUGAUGCAGCGACGCCGCGUGAGCGAAGAAGUAUUUCGGUAUGUAAAGCUCUAUCAGCAAGGAAGAUAAUGACGGUACUUGACUAAGAAGCUCCGGCUAAAUACGUGCCAGCAGCCGCGGUAAUACGUAUGGAGCAAGCGUUAUCCGGAAUUACUGGGUGU